rnacentral:lncRNA from 1 species
GCUCCUGCUUUCAACAUUUCAAACAUAAUAAUGAAGUGGCUUCCAGUGGCCUUGAGGAGUCAGCUUCUGUGGCUGAGGUGAUGAUGGCAGACUUGGCAAGGAGCUGGGAGGUUAUGUUCAAACCUCCAACAACAGACUGGAGUCGGGGCCACAGACAGACACGCAGGUGAGAGGAAGCAUAAAUUCCACGCCUCCGCGGCUCAGACUUCUGGCCUGGAUGGGCCUCCCUUCGCGGGGGUUCAGAGGCCCCUAGGCUGGCGGAUUUAUGUUGGGAGAGCAGCGUAGUAGAAAGAGAUUAAGAACCCUUUCAAAGGGUGUGCAAGGGGGCUGCUUCUGGAUCUCAGCAGUCUGGACACAGGGCUCAGGCUGUGGGGACCUGGGCUGGUGCCAGCAGAGGGAGUAGGGCGGGCCUGAGGAAUGAAGGUCACCGGCCAGUUGGGUGUUGUGAUAAUUAUGUCCUUGUUUCCUGGAAGGGACUGGGGUCCUUGACUUUCCGUCUUCAAAGAGCACUGGCUCUGAAGUGGCACGUUCACACCUGCCCUCUGCAGUGAGUUCCGCCUUCCUGGCUGCAGACUCAACAGGACAACAACACGUCUGUGGACGUGUUCAAGGCCACACUCAUAAGCCAGGCCUGGGAGCUCCUCUUCCACCCUUUCUUCCUGAAUGAAAAGAAAGUUCUGGCUUCUCCCAAAGGGACUGUCACGGACCAGAAGCCGCGUGAUUGCUGGAGGUGUCAGUACACAGCACACCUGGAGUGGCCUUUCUUCUCCCCUCCCAUUCUUCUCCAGAGAAGCUGCGCCAACGGCAGUUAAGUGAAUGACACCAGGGGGACAGAAGCUCCGUCCUCCACAGUCAGCUCCGACCUGUCCCUGGGGACCCUGGAUUCCAAGCUCUGGCCUGUGAUUUAAUAACGAGACCCGUGGGGCGGCCCAGGUGCUGUCUCUCAUACCCUCGCCGAUUGCCAGGGGAACGUUUAGUCUGUUGACUUUAUUCAGUUAUGCUAGUCUGGCAAACAUGCCCGGAGCUGUAAAUUAUUGAGAAGUUUAAUUUAUUUGGUGUAGAAGGAAUUUUCUUUUACCUUCGUUAUCAAAUAGCAGAAGAUGAAAAACCGCUUUGUUUGCAAAUCAUAAAAACUUUAACAGACUUGUGCUGUAAAGAGUAAAAGAGACUUCCCUGAACUUAGAGGAUAACAGGGGUCACCACACCACCCCAAGAUGAAAGUUAUGGUACAUACCCGUUCAGAUUGGGAGCGAAAUGUGGAACUACUGCCUCCCGUUGGUGGUAACAGACAACCCCUCUGAACGGAGCACUAGGCAAACCGGGGACGAGGCCAGCAGGGCCUUUGUCUCGAUCCCUCUUCCCGUGAUGAUCGAUGACUUCCCAGUCACCCAGGAGAGGGAGACAUUUGAAAUUGUAGGAAAUAUGAUAUAACCUAAACCCCCUUAGUAUAUAAAAUUACUACCUAAUAGUGAACAUGUCACUGCUUUUAAAUUCUUUGAUCUUGUACUUAGUACAUGUUUCAUUGAAAUAGAAACAACAAAAACAAAUUAUCUCACAGAACAGCCACUGUCACCUCAGACUACAGCCCCUCCCCUCCAACUGGCUCAUUCACUCUCUUGAUGAAAAAGGGUUGAUCUGAUGCAAAAAUAACCAUCAUCUACAGCAAUGCAAAAAUAUAAACAACAGAAGCACAGAAAUUCUUUGUAAAAUUUUUCUCUUAUAAUUCCCUUGUUUUAAAUGUACUUCUGGAAUCAGGUGACACCAUUGAGCUUUUGUUUAUCAUCUCCAAGUAUUUUAAAAAUUUGCCUUUAUCCAUGGGCAGCAACACCGUUUCAGCUAAGAAUGCUGGUUCUGCAAUCCAGCUGUCUGGGUUUGAAUUCUUGACUGUGUCAUUAGCUGUGUGAUAUUGGAUAAGGUAUUUAAUGUCUCUGUUCCUCAGUUUUCUCAUCUGUAAAAUAGGGAUAUUAUCUUCCUCAUAGGGUUCUUGUGUGAACAAGUACAAAA